rnacentral:misc_RNA from 1 species
GGGCAGCAAACUCGCGAGAGCUAGCAAAUCCCAUAAACCGUGGCUCAGUUCAGAUCGUAGGCUGCAACUCGCCUACGUGAAGUAGGAAUCGCUAGUAAUCGCAGGUCAGCAUACUGCGGUGAAUACGUUCCCGGGCCUUGUACACACCGCCCGUCACACCAUGGAAGUUGGCCAUGCCCGAAGUCGUUACUCCAACCCUUGUGGAGGAGGACGCCGAAGGUGGGGCUAAUGACUGGGGUGAAGUCGUAACAAGGUAGCCGUACCGGAAGGUGCGGCUGGAUCACCUCCUAACAGGGAGACAACAAAAUGUAAAUAUUAAUUUUGUCACCUUAGGUCGAUCGGUAUCUCAGAUUCUUAACUUUUAAGAAUUUCAGUUUCUAAGUUUUUUCUAGGUCACACCCAUCACUUUUUCCUGGGCCAUUAGCUCAGGUGGUUAGAGCGCACCCCUGAUAAGGGUGAGGUCCCUGGUUCAAGUCCAGGAUGGCCCAUAUCUCUAUGUUGGGGGUAUAGCUCAGUUGGUAGAGCGCCUGCUUUGCAAGCAGGAUGUCAGCGGUUCGAGUCCGCUUACCUCCACUGAAUACCACCUCUUUCGUAUCUCAAGAAUGGAAAUUGUUUUGAGUUGUGCCCUAUUUUACUCUGAGUGAAUCUAGCUUCCUAUUUUUUCGAUGUAAUUAAAUAAGAAGCUGGACUCAUUGAAUUAUUAUUCAUUGUUUUCAGAGAACCUUGACAACUGCAUAGAUUAUUUUUGAAGACAAUAAGCAUCUUUAAAUGAUGCAGAUUUAUUAUUUGUGCAUAUGCAUUAAAUAACAAUUCUAUUAAGCUGAUGCUUCAAUUAUUGAAGUUAUUGGUCAAGCUACAAAGGGCUCACGGAGGAUACCUAGGCACACAGAGGCGAUGAAGGACGUGGUUACCUGCGAUAAGUCUCGGGGAGU